GACAGAGGGGGCAAGCGUUGCUCGGAAUUACUGGGCGUAAAGCGUGCGCAGGCGGUUCGUUAUGUCCGUUGUGAAAGCCCCGGGCUCAACCUGGGAAUGGCAAUGGAAACUGGCGGGCUAGAGUGUGGCAGAGGGGGGUGGAAUUCCGCGUGUAGCAGUGAAAUGCGUAGAGAUGCGGAGGAACACCGAUGGCGAAGGCAAUCCCCUGGGCCUGCACUGACGCUCAUGCACGAAAGCGUGGGGAGCAAACAGG
rnacentral:rRNA from 1 species